rnacentral:rRNA from 1 species
UACGUAGGGUGCGAGCGUGUCCGGAAUUACUGGGCGUAAAGAGCUCGUAGGUGGUUUGUCGCGUUGUUCGUGAAAACCGGGGGCUUAACCCUCGGCGUGCGGGCGAUACGGGCAGACUUGAGUACUGCAGGGGAGACUGGAAUUCCUGGUGUAGCGGUGGAAUGCGCAGAUAUCAGGAGGAACACCGGUGGCGAAGGCGGCUCUCUGGGACGGUACCGAGCUGAGACGCGAAAGCGUGGGGAGCGAACAGG